GUAAAGUAGCGUGCCUAAGUCAUCUGUUGAUUAAUUUUUUCAUGGUGUAAGUUCCAAAUAAUGGCAGCUUAUCAAAUUGUAAAUCAUGGCAAUGGCUUCAUUCUUACCCUUGCUGAGAAAAGAUUUCCUGUGAACGACAUCAUGUAUAUUUCUGAACAUCUUGGUUUUCAUUCAGGUAUGGACGACCUGAACUUUGGUCUCAUCCUUAUUUACACAAUGUCUUUUUUAUUUCCGUUUUUAACUAGAGACUGCUGGAUAAUUAAUUAGGCAUCGGAGGGGUGAGGAUCUUUCGGACGAUGAAUAAAUAGCACGGGUAGCUGCUGCCAUGGUAUUGAGAAUGGAUUCUCGUUUAGAUAGAGCAUGCAAGUCUAGAGUAGAUGAACUCACAAAUGCGCUCCAGAGUCUCCCUUAAUGGUACAGGGAAGUGUUGGAUAUGGGUAUCUAUCUGGUAAUCACCAUAUUUUUUUAUUAAACUGAUUUUUUCUUUCCACUUGAAGAAUCAGGCUUGACUUAUGAACACACAAUGGGACAAGCACACAGUUUUCCAUCCAGCUGAACUGAGAUACCAUACAUUUGUGGCACUGAUCUCUCUGUUGAUAUUAGAUUCCAAUGGUGCCCUUCCCCCCCCCCCUCCUC
rnacentral:lncRNA from 1 species